AAACCCAAUCCAAUGAAGUAAAGAGAAAAGUGAUUAAAGUCCUUAAUGGUUUUUCAACGACGAAAGUUGAAACAUUUUCAUGCAAUUCCCAAUUUAUAAAAGAUAAAAUUAGAGUUAUUUGGUCCCCCUCCCCUUUCCUUUCUAAUGCAGAUUCUCCCAAUUUGUUUGCAAAUUCUGUAUUGUUCUUUUCACUCUUCUGCCACACUUCUCGCCCUCUCUCUCUCUCUCCCAUGUACAUUAAUGCUUAGACCACCACCCACCACCACAUACACCAAUUUAUGAAACCUUCCCUUCCUUUUCUUCCUACUGACUUUUCUCAUCGCUGACCCUAUUUCUUCUCUAUCUUGCUUUGGGUUUUUUAUUUCGCAGCAGAAGGUUUAUAUUUUGAAGACAAAACAAGGUUGGGAUCAACUCCUCCAAGCUGCCACAACAGAUGUAAUGGAUGCCACCCUUGCAAGGCAGUUCAAGUACCUACUACACCAUUACUUAGCCAUUACCACC